rnacentral:rRNA from 1 species
UACAGAGGUCCCGAGCGUUGUUCGGAUUCACUGGGCGUAAAGGGUGCGCAGGUGGGUUGGCAAGUUUGAUGUGAAAGCCCCGGGCUUAACCCGGGAAUGGCAUUGAAUACUGCUGAUCUGGAGGAUCGGAGGGGGACAGAGAAUUCCCGGUGUAGGGGUGAAAUUCGUAGAUAUCGGGAGGAAUACCAGUGGCGAAGGCGCUGUCCUGGACGAAGAUUGACGCUGAGGUGCGAAAGCGCGGGGAGCAAACAGG